AUACGAAGGGUGCAAGCGUUACUCGGAAUUACUGGGCGUAAAGCGUGCGUAGGUGGUUGUUUAAGUCUGUCGUGAAAGCCCUGGGCUCAACCUGGGAAUGGCGAUGGAAACUGGGCGACUAGAGUGUGGCAGAGGGUAGUGGAAUUCCUGGUGUAGCAGUGAAAUGCGUAGAGAUCAGGAGGAACAUCCGUGGAGAAGGCGACUGCCUGGGCCAACACUGACACUGAGGCACGAAAGCGGGGGGAGCAAACAGGAAUAGAUACCCUGGUAGUCCACGCCCUAAACGAUGCGAACUGGAUGUUGGGUGCAAUUUGGCACGCAGUAUCGAAGCUAACGCGUUAAGUUCGCCGCCUGGGGAGUACGGUCGCAAGACUGAAACUCAAAUGAAUUGGCGGGG
rnacentral:rRNA from 1 species